GCCGGAGAGAAAGGCUGACCCUAUCAAAAAAGGAUCAUGAAUGGUCCCUUAGCACAAUAAGAGGUGCUGGGGAUGGCGAUCCAACUCCUACCCUGGCUUAGACGGAACAGAGAUCCUUUCAAGCCCUCCUCACUCAACAAGGGGAAUGAUUCUAAUCCAGCGGGGGUUAGUAAAAGACUAGGCCAAUGGUGCUCCACCAGCAACCUCUUACCCUCGUUCAACGAAUAAAGUGAAAUCAGUCCUUUCGCUCUUACACAGGAAAGAAAAAAGCAUUCAACCUUCUAGGACUAAGCCUAAGGCCAAU
rnacentral:lncRNA from 1 species